rnacentral:rRNA from 1 species
UCGAGAAUCAUUCGCAAUGGGCGAAAGCCUGACGAUGCGACGCCGUGUGAGCGAAGAAGGCCUUAGGGUCGUAAAGCUCUUUCGCUUGGGAACAAGAGAGGCUGGCUAACAUCCAGCUAAUUUGAGGGUACCAGGUAAAGAAGCACCGGCUAACUCCGUGCCAGCAGCUGCGGUAAUACGGAGGGUGCAAGCAUUAAUCGGAUUUAUUGGGCGUAAAGGGCGCGUAGGCGGGGAUGUAAGUCAGAUGUGAAAUCCCGGGGCUCAACCUCGGAACUGCAUUUGAAACUACAUCUCUAGAGGAUAGGCGGGGAAAACGGAAUUCCACAAGUAGCGGUGAAAUGCGUAGAUAUGUGGAAGAACACCGGUGGCGAAGGCGGUUUUCUAGCUUAGACCUGACGCUGAGGCGCGAAAGCAAGGGGAUCAAACAG